CAGGCUUAACACAUGCAAGUCGAGCGGUAGCACAGGGGAGCUUGCUCCCUGGGUGACGAGCGGCGGACGGGUGAGUAAUGUCUGGGAAACUGCCUGAUGGAGGGGGAUAACUACUGGAAACGGUAGCUAAUACCGCAUAACGUCGCAAGACCAAAGAGGGGGACCUUCGGGCCUCUUGCCAUCAGAUGUGCCCAGAUGGGAUUAGCUAGUAGGUGGGGUAAUGGCUCACCUAGGCGACGAUCCCUAGCUGGUCUGAGAGGAUGACCAGCCACACUGGAACUGAGACACGGUCCAGACUCCUCCGGGAGGCAGCAGUGGGGAAUAUUGCACAAUGGGCGCAAGCCUGAUGCAGCCAUGCCGCGUGUGUGAAGAAGCCCUUCGGGUUGUAAAGCACUUUCAGCGAGGAGGAAGGUGGUGAGCUUAAUACGCUC
rnacentral:rRNA from 1 species